GACGAACGCUGGCGGCGUGCUUAACACAUGCAAGUCGAACGGAAAGGCCCUGCUUUUGUGGGGUGCUCGAGUGGCGAACGGGUGAGUAACACGUGAGUAACCUGCCCUUGACUUUGGGAUAACUUCAGGAAACUGGGGCUAAUACCGGAUAGGAGCUCCUGCUGCAUGGUGGGGGUUGGAAAGUUUCGGCGGUUGGGGAUGGUCUCGCGGCUUAUCAGCUUGUUGGUGGGGUAGUGGCUUACCAAGGCUCUGACGGGUAGCCGGCCUGGGAGGGUGACCGGCCACAUUGGGACUGCGAUACGGCCCAGACGCCUACGGUAGGCAGCAGUGGGGAAUAUUGCACAAUGGGCGGAAGCCUGAUGCAGCAACGCCGCGUGCGGGAUGACGGCCUUCGGGUUGUAAACCGCUUUCGCCUGUGACGAAGCGUGAGUGACGGUAAUGGGUAAAAAAGCACCGGCUAACUACGUG
rnacentral:rRNA from 1 species